rnacentral:rRNA from 1 species
UACGUAGGGGACGAGCGUUGUUCGGAUUCAUUGGGCGUAAAGGGCGCGUAGGCGGCGCGGAAAGUCGGUCGUGAAAUGCCGGGGCUCAACCCCGGGACUGCGUUCGAUACUGCCGGGCUGGAGGUCGGUAGAGGAGAUCGGAAUUCCUGGUGUAGCGGUGAAAUGCGCAGAUAUCAGGAGGAACACCGGUGGCGAAGGCGGAUCUCUGGGCCUUUCCUGACGCUGAGGCGCGAAAGCUAGGGGAGCGAACAGG